UUGACCUCGGAUCAGGUAGGAGUC
rnacentral:rRNA from 1 species